AGUGAACGCUGGCGGUAGGCCUAACACAUGCAAGUCGAACGGCAGCACAGUAAGAGCUUGCUCUUACGGGUGGCGAGUGGCGGACGGGUGAGGAAUACAUCGGAAUCUACUUUUUCGUGGGGGAUAACGUAGGGAAACUUACGCUAAUACCGCAUACGACCUACGGGUGAAAGCAGUGGAUCUUCGGACCUUGCGCGAUUGAAUGAGCCGAUGUCGGAUUAGCUAGUUGGCGGGGUAAAGGCCCACCAAGGCGACAAUCCGUAGCUGGUCUGAGAGGAUGAUCGGCGGCACUGGAAGUGGGACACGGUCCAGACUCCUGCGGGAGGCACCAGUGGGGAAUGUUGGGCAGAGGGCGCAAGCCUGGUCCAGCGGUACCGCGUGGGUGAAGAAGGCCUUCGGGUUGUAAAGCCCUUUUGUUGGGAAAGAAAAGCAGCAGGUUAAUACCCCGCUGUUCUGACGGUACCCAAAGAAUAAGCACCGGCUAACUUCGUG
rnacentral:rRNA from 1 species